AGACCACCAGCUAAGGUCCCAAAAUAUAUGUUAAGUGGAAAAGGAUGUGGCGUUGCCCAGACAACUAGGAUGUUGGCUUAGAAGCAGCCAUCAUUUAAAGAGUGCGUAAUAGCUCACUAGUCGAGUGACACUGCGCCGAAAAUGUACCGGGGCUAAACAUAUUACCGAAGCUGUGGAUUGUCCUUUGGACAAUGGUAGGAGAGCGUUCUAAGGGCGUUGAAGCAUGAUCGUAAGGACAUGUGGAGCGCUUAGAAGUGAGAAUGCCGGUGUGAGUAGCGAAAGACGGGUGAGAAUCCCGUCCACCGAUUGACUAAGGUUUCCAGAGGAAGGCUCGUCCGCUCUGGGUUAGUCGGGUCCUAAGCUGAGGCCGACAGGCGUAGGCGAUGGAUAACAGGUUGAUAUUCCUGUACCACCUAUAAUCGUUUUAAUCGAUGGGGGGACGCAGUAGGAUAGGCGAAGCGUGCGAUUGGAUUGCACGUCUAAGCAGUAAGGCUGAGUAUUAGGCAAAUCCGGUACUCGUUAAGGCUGAGCUGUGAUGGGGAGAAGACAUUGUGUCUUCGAGUCGUUGAUUUCACACUGCCGAGAAAAGCCUCUAGAUAGAAAAUAGGUGCCCGUACCGCAAACCGACACAGGUAGUCAAGAUGAGAAUUCUAAGGUGAGCGAGCGAACUCUCGUUAA
rnacentral:rRNA from 1 species